rnacentral:lncRNA from 1 species
UAAAACGGUAUUUUGACCCAGCCAAGGUUACGAGCAACCUGUGAAGGAUUAACUUACUGAUUAUGGUUUUAUCAAAUGGACACAAAUAUAUCUAUAGUGAGGGGAGUGCAACUACGGGACUUUAGUGGAAUGACCCGUUAGUUAACGAAUGUUGAUUAACUCGGUUUAAAAGAGUUUAGCUAGUUAACCUUGAAUCGUUGGAGCCCAUGAUCUAUAGGUCCAUUAGGUUCCUCUGCUAGCUCAUAUGGAUUAAACUUAGAACGGUGUGAUGAAAUAAGUCGAAUUGUUCGAAUUGGGAGAAGAAAGGGAAACCGACAAAUAUAGUGAUAUAGUCGUCGGUCUUCUAAUUAGAAAUAGAGCUUUAUGUUUUACAUACUAUAAGUAUGAAUGCGGAUUCAUACUAAGAAGCUCGGAAUUGAUAGAAUUGAUCAAAAAUAGUAAAAAGUCAAAAUGUUGACUUUUGACUUUGAAAAGUCAAACUUUGACCGGCCUUAUAUUCAAAUGUGAUUUGAAUUUUGGAAAAAUGAAUGCGGAUUCAUGCUCGAGAGGUUGGAAUUAGUCAAGACGGACAAAAUGGUAAAAAGUCAAAAUAUUGACUUUUGACUAAGAAAAGUCAAAGUUUGACUUUUGACUAGAAAUAUCUAAUGACCAUUUUACCCUUGGACUAAGUUAGUGGGAAAAUCCAACAUUUUGUUGGAUAAUCCCACUAACUCUUAGUGGGAUAUGUGGCUAUAUGAGAUAUAGACACCUAGCCCACUAAAUUCCACUAAUUGUUAGUGGAACAUUAGGUGUUGAGAUUUGGCAAAUGAAUUGCAUGCAUUUUUUCAUGUAAUUAGGUUAUAAAUAGAGGUGUUUUCAAAUGUUGAAAAAACUUUUGCCUCUUUUAUCAUUUUCAUCAUCUCAACAAAAGAAAAAAGAAAGCUUCCAAUCUCAUUUUAUCUCCAUUACUUUCUACACCAAAAUUGGGUCCCACAACCCGGUUCUUUGUCUAGAGGAUAGCAGUUGAGUACUAGUGGUGGUCUCGGUUAGAAUUGGUAAGAAGAUAUCAAACCUUUUGAAAGCUUCAAAGGUAAUAUUUCUUAAAACCCUAAUUUGAUUAGUUUAUGGUUACAUGUUAAUUGUGGCAAUUAGGGUAGAAAUUCGAUUCUUUUUCCGCUGUGCAUGACUUAGUUCUAUCAUGUGGUAUCAGAGCAUGCUUCAUUUUUACCCAAUUGCAUGUGGUGGGUUCAUAUUUAUUAGAUAAAUUUUGGUUUGAACUAAAAUGGAUAUAUUAUGAUUUUGGCUCUAGAUUAAGUGUUUUUGUUCUAAUUAUUGUAAUUAGCCUUGUUAAUGGCUUAUUUUUAUUGUUGCAAAGUGUUUGUAAUUUUUAAAAAAAUAAAAAAAGUCAUUAGAGUUGAAGUUAGGCUGUAACUGGUUCAACCGGGUGAGAGAAUUGAAAAAAAAUGAAGAAAAGAAGGUCACAGACCCGAAAACCCGCCUUGACCCGCUUCGCGACCCGCACGCGCCCGCGCGCCCUCCUGCGCCCGCGCGCCCGCCUGCGUCCCGCGCCUGCCUUCGCCCGACCCGUGUGCGCCUGGGCCGGUUCAAGCGAUUUCGGUUGGUUUUUCAGCCGGUUCGAAGUUUUUGGGAGUGGUUCUGUACUACACCAAAGUAAUUAUGUAAUAAUUUAGUACUUAGCUUAAUUUAGGAGCCAAAAAUCAGUCCAUUUUAGGGUGUUUUUUUUUAUUUAUGCAUGUGAUGUAUGAUUAAAUUACUUUAAAUUUGUAUGUGCAUUUUGAAUGUCAUAUAGAUUUAAAAUCCCACCAUAGGUUAACAUGUUCAUGCAUUAAAAUGUAUGAUAUAAAGGUUAUAUUGUAUUGUAUGCAUGUUAAUUGAUUAAUAUGGAAAUUAAAAUCCCACCAUAGGUGUUUGCUUUUCAUUCUAGGUCAUAAAGCUUGGGUGUGACGUUUCGGCAUUUUCAUAUGCAAGCCUGCCAGAGCUGAAAAUGUUCAAAAUGUAUUAUAGGGGAGGCAUACCAGUUGAAUCCCCGCUCGAGCAUUAGUUGUACUCUUUGCAAGCAACCCUUUUCGUGGCACGCGUGCGGGGCCUGUGAGCUGUCCUCGAGAGGUGCCUGCCAAUGUCAUGGGCAUAUGUCCUGGUCACCCUUGGGCUGUCUCGGGACCACGUUGGGCUACUCCUGGGCCAUGCUAAAGGAGUCAUGGCACGUAUUGGCGCAAUUUUGCGGGUGAUUUUUGGGGUCAAAGCUUCACAUGUGACAUCAGGCUUACUUCUUUUCAUUUCUUUCUUUUUUCCGUUUUAAAUUUUAUCUCUAAACCAAACUCCAACUAACUCUAGUUUAUGUUUAGGAACUUGUAAUUUUGGAGUACAAUAUAAGUAUAAUUGUUUGUGUUAUAUUGUUUUUAUUAUUAUUAUUACUAUUAAAAAUAGCCAAAUUAAUUAAAAUAUUUAUAAGGUAUUUUAAAAUUUGAUAUUCGAUAGAUCGAUCAAUGUCACUAAACAUAUAAGGGCUUAUCAAUAUC